UGACAGAGAGAGGGAGGGGGUGACUAGUGACAGAGUGAGGGAGGGGGUGACUAGUGACAGAGUGAGUGAUUAGUGACAGAAGGAGGGAUGGGGUGACUAGUGACAGUCACCACCUCCUUCACUCUGUCACUAGUCACCCACUCCCUCCCUCACUCUGUCACUAGUCACCCCCUCUCUCACUCUGUCAC